GGGUUGGUGUAUCUCAUUGGUAGAGUACAUGCUUUGUGUGUAUGAUGUCCUGGGUUCAAUCCCCAGUUUGUCUC